GACGAACGCUGGCGGCGUGCUUAACACAUGCAAGUCGAACGGAAAGGCCCUGCUUGCCGGGUACUCGAGUGGCGAACGGGUGAGUAACACGUGGGUGAUCUGCCCUGCACUUCGGGAUAAGCCUGGGAAACUGGGUCUAAUACCGGAUAGGAGCCAUUUUUAGUGUGAUGGUUGGAAAGUUUUUUCGGUGUAGGAUGAGCUCGCGGCCUAUCAGCUUGUUGGUGGGGUAAUGGCCUACCAAGGCGGCGACGGGUAGCCGGCCUGAGAGGGUGGACGGCCACAUUGUGACUGAGAUACGGCCCAGACUCCUACGGGAGGCAGCAGUGGGGAAUAUUGCACAAUGGGCGCAAGCCUGAUGCAGCGACGCCGCGGGGGGGAUGACGGCCUUCGGGUUGUAAACUCCUUUCGCUAGGGACGAAGCUUUUUGUGACGGUACCUAGAUAAGAAGCACCGGCUAACUACGUG
rnacentral:rRNA from 1 species